rnacentral:rRNA from 1 species
AUUGAACGCUGGCGGCAGGCCUAACACAUGCAAGUCGAACGGUAACAGGAAGCUUCUUGCUGCUUUGCUGACGAGUGGGGGACGUGAGGGCUAUGUCUCGGACACUGCCUGAUGGAUGGGGUUCACUACUGGACACGGUUGCUACUACCGCAUAACGUCGCAAGACCAAAGAGGGUGACCCUUGGGCCUAUUGGAUUCGCCUGUGCCCAGUUGGGAUUAGCUAGUAGGUGGGGUAACGGCUCACCUAGGCGACGAUCCCUAGCUGGUCUGAGAGGAUGACCAGCCACACUGGAACUGAGACACGGUCCAGACUCCUACGGGAGGCAGCAGUGGGGAAUAUUGCACAAUGGGCGCAAGCCUGAUGCAGCCAUGCCGCGUGUAUGAAGAAGGCCUUCGGGUUGUAAAGUACUUUCAGCGGGGAGGAAGGGAGUAAAGUUAAUACCUUUGCUCAUUGACGUUACCCGCAGAAGAAGCACCGGCUAACUCCGUG